rnacentral:rRNA from 1 species
AACGAACGCUGGCGGCAGGCCUAACACAUGCAAGUCGAGCGCCCCGCAAGGGGAGCGGCGGACGGGUGAGUAACGCGUGGGAAUAUGCCCUUUGCUACGGAAUAGUCUCGGGAAACUGGGGGUAAUACCGUAUACGCCCUUUGGGGGAAAGAUUUAUCGGCGAAGGAUUAGCCCGCGUUGGAUUAGGUAGUUGGUGGGGUAAUGGCCUACCAAGCCGACGAUCCAUAGCUGGUUUGAGAGGAUGAUCAGCCACACUGGGACUGAGACACGGCCCAGACUCCGACGGGAGGCAGCAGGGGGGAUUUUUAGACAGGGGGGCAACCCAUGAUCUCGCCAUGCGGUGGGAGUGAGGAGGGCCUUGGGUUUGAAAGCCUCUUUCAGCGGGGAAGAAAAUGAGGUUCCCGAAAAAAAAAGCCCCGGCUACCCCCGGC